UCGAGAAUCUUCGGCAAUGGGCGAAAGCCUGACCGAGCGACGCCGCGUGCGGGACGAAGGCCUUCGGGUUGUAAACCGCUGUCAGAGGGGAGCAAAUUUUGAGCGAUCCUCAGAGGAAGCACAGGCUAAGUUCGUGCCAGCAGCCGCGGUAAUACGAACUGUGCAAACGUUAUUCGGAAUCACUGGGCUUAAAGGGUGCGUAGGCGGCCAUGUAGGUCUGAUGUGAAAUCCCACGGCUCAACCGUGGAACUGCGUUGGAAACCAUAUGGCUUGAGGGAGACAGAGGAAAGCGGAACUGAUGGUGGAGCGGUGAAAUGCGCUGAGAUCAUCAGGAACACCGGUGGCGAAAGCGGCUUUCUGGGUCUCUUCUGACGCUGAGGCACGAAAGCUAGGGGAGCGAACGGGAUUAGAUACCCCCGUAGUCC
rnacentral:rRNA from 1 species